AAAUGAACUUAUGAAUUCAACAGGUGAAGAUUUACAACUUGAUUAAACAGCUUCAGGAGGUAGACAGAACUGGAAGAACAGUAUUUGUCCUACUUUUGAGAUGCAAGAUUUAUCUGGCGUAAUGCAUUGAACAGAUUAUUAUUGAAGUCUACACCGGUCAACUGAACAAGCAUUCGUCAAAUGUCCAUGAUACGUAGGACAGAAGGUUUUCUUUUAGGCUCAAGCUGUAAAAGCAAAGGUCCAGUGAUGAUCCCAUACCCUUUUUUCCAGUGUCAUGUUGAAGAUCUUUAUGUAGAAGGCCGUUCCAAAGGAACUCUUUUUGUGUGGUGGGGGAUGGGGUUUUCAUUCUUCUUGCUCAGGCUGGAGUUCAAUGGCGUUAUCUUGGCUCACUGCAACCUCUGCCUCUUGGGUUCGUGUGAUUCUCCUACCUCAGCCUCCCGAGUAGGUGGGAUUACAGGCGCCCACCAUCAUGCCAGCCUGAUUUUUGUAAUUUUAGUAGAGGCGGGGUUUCAGCAUGUUGGCCAGGCUGGUCUUGAACUCCUGACCUCAGAUGAUCCUCCUGCGUCAGCCUCCCAAAGUGCUGGGAUUACAGAUGUGAACCACCAUGCCCUGCCAGAAAUUUUUUUUAAGAAGACUGUCUACUAA
rnacentral:lncRNA from 10 species